rnacentral:lncRNA from 1 species
UUUUACUUGUUCGUAAUGCUCAUUGGAUGAUUUGGUGGAGUGACACCAAACUGAGGAACUGUUCUACUGAACAAGUUUUGUCAGAGUAGGUUUUACUUGUUCGUAAUGCUCAUUGGAUGAUUUGGUGGUGUGACACCAAACUGAGGAACCGUUCUACUGAACAAGUUUUGUCAGAGUAGGUUUUACUUGUUCGUAAUGCUCAUUGGAUGAUUUGGUGGUGUGACAACAAACUGAUGAACUGU